rnacentral:tRNA from 4 species
CAGAGGGUAGUUUAACUUAGAAUCUUAGCUUUGGGAGUUAAGGGUGGGAG